GACGAACGCUGGCGGCGUGCUUAACACAUGCAAGUCGAACGGAAAGGCCCUGCUUUUGUGGGGUGCUCGAGUGGCGAACGGGUGAGUAACACGUGAGUAACCUGCCCUUGACUUUGGGAUAACUUCAGGAAACUGGGGCUAAUACCGGAUAGGAGCUCCUGCUGCAUGGUGGGGGUUGGAAAGUUUCGGCGGUUGGGGAUGGACUCGCGGCUUAUCAGCUUGUUGGUGGGGUAGUGGCUUACCAAGGCUUUGACGGGUAGCCGGCCUGAGAGGGUGACCGGCCACAUUGGGUCUGAGAUACGGUCCAGACUGCUACGGGAGGAAGCAGUGGGAAAUAUUGCACAAUGGGCGGAAGCCUGAUGCAGCAACGCCGCGUGCGGGAUGACGGCCUUCGGGUUGUAAACCGCUUUCGCCUGUGACGAAGCGUGAGUGACGGUAAUGGGUAAAGAAGCACCGGCUAACUACGUG
rnacentral:rRNA from 1 species